CCCCAUUAAAGUGAAUGGGAGAAAGGGGGGGGAAACGGAUUUCUAUGAAAAUAAGCGAUAUUUCAGGUUAAAAACAGGGAUUUCUAUGAAAAUAAGCGAUAUUUAAGGGGAAAAACAGGGAUUUCUAUGAAAAUAAGCGAUAUUUAAGGUUAAAAACAGGGAUUUCUAUGAAAAUAAGCGAUAUUUAAGGAUAAAAACAGGGAUUUCUAUGAAAAUAAGCGAUAUUUAAGGAUAAAAACAGGGAUUUCUAUGAAAAUAAGCGAUAUUUUAGGUUAAAAACAGGGAUUUCUAUGAAAAUAAGCGAUAUUUAAGGAUAAAAACAGAGAUUUCUAUGAAAAUAAGCGAUAUUUAAGGAUAAAAACAGGGAUUUCUAUGAAAAUAAGCGAUAUUUAAGGUUAAAAACAGGGAUUUCUAUGAAAAUAAGCGAUAUUUAAGGAUAAAAACAGGGAUUUCUAUGAAAAUAAGCGAUAUUUCAGGUUAAAAACAGGGAUUUCUAUGAAAAUAAGCGAUAUUUAAGGUUAAAAACAGGGAUUUCUAUGAAAAUAAGCGAUAUUUAAGGGGAAAAACAGGGAUUUCUAUGAAAAUAAGCGAUAUUUCAGGUUAAAAACAGGGAUUUCUAUGAAAAUAAGCGAUAUUUAAGGUUAAAAACAGGGAUUUCUAUGAAAAUAAGCGAUAUUUCAGGAUAAAAACAGGGAUUUCUAUGAAAAUAAGCGAUAUUUCAGGAUAAAAACAGGGAUUUCUAUGAAAAUAAGCGAUAUUUAAGGAUAAAAACAGGGAUUUCUAUGAAAAUAAGCGAUAUUUAAGGUUAAAAACAGGGAUUUCUAUGAAAAUAAGCGAUAUUUCAGGUUAAAAACAGGGAUUUCUAUGAAAAUAAGCGAUAUUUAAGGAUAAAAACAGGGAUUUCUAUGAAAAUAAGCGAUAUUUCAGGAUAAAAACAGGGAUUUCUAUGAAAAUAAGCGAUAUUUCAGGUUAAAAACAGGGAUUUCUAUGAAAAUAAGCGAUAUUUAAGGAUAAAAACAGGGAUUUCUAUGAAAAUAAGCGAUAUUUAAGGUUAAAAACAGGGAUUUCUAUGAAAAUAAGCGAUAUUUAAGGGGAAAAACAGGGAUUUCUAUGAAAAUAAGCGAUAUUUAAGGGGAAAAACAGGGAUUUCUAUGAAAAUAAGCGAUAUUUAAGGAUAAAAACAGGGAUUUCUAUGAAAAUAAGCGAUAUUUCAGGAUAAAAACAGGGAUUUCUAUGAAAAUAAGCGAUAUUUAAGGUUAAAAACAGGGAUUUCUAUGAAAAUAAGCGAUAUUUCAGGUUAAAAACAGGGAUUUCUAUGAAAAUAAGCGAUAUUUAAGGUUAAAAACAGGGAUUUCUAUGAAAAUAAGCGAUAUUUAAGGGGAAAAACAGGGAUUUCUAUGAAAAUAAGCGAUAUUUAAGGGGAAAAACAGGGAUUUCUAUGAAAAUAAGCGAUAUUUAAGGAUAAAAACAGGGAUUUCUAUGAAAAUAAGCGAUAUUUCAGGUUAAAAACAGGGAUUUCUAUGAAAAUAAGCGAUAUUUCAGGUUAAAAACAGGGAUUUCUAUGAAAAUAAGCGAUAUUUCAGGUUAAAAACAGGGAUUUCUAUGAAAAUAAGCGAUAUUUAAGGUUAAAAACAGGGAUUUCUAUGAAAAUAAGCGAUAUUUUAGGGGAAAAACAGGGAUUUCUAUGAAAAUAAGCGAUAUUUAAGGAUAAAAACAGGGAUUUCUAUGAAAAUAAGCGAUAUUUAAGGUUAAAAACAGGGAUUUCUAUGAAAAUAAGUGAUAUUUUAGGGGAAAAACAGGGAUUUCUAUGAAAAUAAGCGAUAUUUUAGGGGAAAAACAGGGAUUUCUAUGAAAAUAAGCGAUAUUUAAGGUUAAAAACAGGGAUUUCUAUGAAAAUAAGCGAUAUUUCAGGUUAAAAACAGGGAUUUCUAUGAAAAUAAGCGAUAUUUAAGGAUAAAAACAGGGAUUUCUAUGAAAAUAAGCGAUAUUUAAGGUUAAAAACAGGGAUUUCUAUGAAAAUAAGCGAUAUUUAAAGGGAAAAACAGGGAUUUCUAUGAAAAUAAGGGAUAUUUAAGGUUAAAAACAGGGAUUUCUAUGAAAAUAAGCGAUAUUUCAGGAUAAAAACAGGGAUUUCUAUGAAAAUAAGCGAUAUUUCAGGGGAAAAACAGGGAUUUCUAUGAAAAUAAGCGAUAUUUAAGGUUAAAAACAGGGAUUUCUAUGAAAAUAAGCGAUAUUUCAGGAUAAAAACAGGGAUUUCUAUGAAAAUAAGCGAUAUUUAAGGAUAAAAACAGGGAUUUCUAUGAAAAUAAGCGAUAUUUCAGGUUAAAAACAGGGAUUUCUAUGAAAAUAAGCGAUAUUUAAGGGGAAAAACAGGGAUUUCUAUGAAAAUAAGCGAUAUUUCAGGAUAAAAACAGGGAUUUCUAUGAAAAUAAGCGAUAUUUAAGGUUAAAAACAGGGAUUUCUAUGAAAAUAAGCGAUAUUUAAGGGGAAAAACAGGGAUUUCUAUGAAAAUAAGCGAUAUUUCAGGUUAAAAACAGGGAUUUCUAUGAAAAUAAGCGAUAUUUAAGGUUAAAAACAGGGAUUUCUAUGAAAAUAAGCGAUAUUUAAGGGGAAAAACAGGGAUUUCUAUGAAAAUAAGCGAUAUUUUAGGAUAAAAACAGGGAUUUCUAUGAAAAUAAGCGAUAUUUAAGGUUAAAAACAGGGAUUUCUAUGAAAAUAAGCGAUAUUUCAGGGGAAAAACAGGGAUUUCUAUGAAAAUAAGCGAUAUUUAAGGUUAAAAACAGGGAUUUCUAUGAAAAUAAGCGAUAUUUAAGGAUAAAAACAGGGAUUUCUAUGAAAAUAAGCGAUAUUUCAGGAUAAAAACAGGGAUUUCUAUGAAAAUAAGCGAUAUUUCAGGGGAAAAACAGGGAUUUCUAUGAAAAUAAGCGAUAUUUCAGGUUAAAAACAGGGAUUUCUAUGAAAAUAAGCGAUAUUUCAGGAUAAAAACAGGGAUUUCUAUGAAAAUAAGCGAUAUUUCAGGUUAAAAACAGGGAUUUCUAUGAAAAUAAGCGAUAUUUCAGGUUAAAAACAGGGAUUUCUAUGAAAAUAAGCGAUAUUUAAGGGGAAAAACAGGGAUUUCUAUGAAAAUAAGCAAUAUUUCAGGUUAAAAACAGGGAUUUCUAUGAAAAUAAGCGAUAUUUCAGGUUAAAAACAGGGAUUUCUAGGAAAAUAAGCGAUAUUUCAGGAUAAAAACAGGGAUUUCUAUGAAAAUAAGCGAUAUUUCAGGUUAAAAACAGGGAUUUCUAUGAAAAUAAGCGAUAUUUAAGGUUAAAAACAGGGAUUUCUAUGAAAAUAAGCGAUAUUUCAGGUUAAAAACAGGGAUUUCUAUGAAAAUAAGCGAUAUUUCAGGUUAAAAACAGGGAUUUCUAUGAAAAUAAGCGAUAUUUAAGGGGAAAAACAGGGAUUUCUAUGAAAAAUAAGAGAUAUUUCAGGAUAAAAACAGGGAUUUCUAUGAAAAUAAGCGAUAUUUAAGGUUAAAAACAGGGAUUUAAAUGAAAAUAAGCGAUAUUUUAGGGGAAAAACAGGGAUUUCUAUGAAAAUAAGCGAUAUUUCAGGAUAAAAACAGGGAUUUCUAUGAAAAUAAGCGAUAUUUCAGGUUAAAAACAGGGAUUUCUAUGAAAAUAAGCGAUAUUUCAGGUUAAAAACAGGGAUUUCUAUGAAAAUAAGCGAUAUUUAAGGGGAAAAACAGGGAUUUCUAUGAAAAUAAGCGAUAUUUAAGGUUAAAAACAGGGAUUUCUAUGAAAAUAAGCGAUAUUUAAGGAUAAAAACAGGGAUUUCUAUGAAAAUAAGCGAUAUUUCAGGAUAAAAACAGGGAUUUCUAUGAAAAUAAGCGAUAUUUAAGGAUAAAAACAGGGAUUUCUAUGAAAAUAAGCGAUAUUUCAGGAUAAAAACAGGGAUUUCUAUGAAAAUAAGCGAUAUUUCAGGGGAAAAACAGGGAUUUCUAUGAAAAUAAGCGAUAUUUAAGGAUAAAAACAGGGAUUUCUAUGAAAAUAAGCGAUAUUUCAGGUUAAAAACAGGGAUUUCUAUGAAAAUAAGCGAUAUUUCAGGUUAAAAACAGGGAUUUCUAUGAAAAUAAGCGAUAUUUAAGGGGAAAAACAGGGAUUUCUAUGAAAAUAAGCGAUAUUUAAGGUUAAAAACAGGGAUUUCUAUGAAAAUAAGCGAUAUUUCAGGUUAAAAACAGGGAUUUCUAUGAAAAUAAGCGAUAUUUAAGGAUAAAAACAGGGAUUUCUAUGAAAAUAAGCGAUAUUUAAGGUUAAAAACAGGGAUUUCUAUGAAAAUAAGCGAUAUUUAAAGGGAAAAACAGGGAUUUCUAUGAAAAUAAGGGAUAUUUAAGGUUAAAAACAGGGAUUUCUAUGAAAAUAAGCGAUAUUUAAGGUUAAAAACAGGGAUUUCUAUGAAAAUAAGCGAUAUUUUAGGAUAAAAACAGGGAUUUCUAUGAAAAUAAGCGAUAUUUAAGGUGAAAAACAGGGAUUUCUAUGAAAAUAAGCGAUAUUUAAGGAUAAAAACAGGGAUUUCUAUGAAAAUAAGCGAUAUUUAAGGUUAAAAACAGGGAUUUCUAUGAAAAUAAGCGAUAUUUUAGGAUAAAAACAGGGAUUUCUAUGAAAAUAAGCGAUAUUUAAGGUGAAAAACAGGGAUUUCUAUGAAAAUAAGCGAUAUUUAAGGUGAAAAACAGGGAUUUCCAUGAAAAUAAGCGAUAUUUAAGGUUAAAAACAGGGAUUUCUAUGAAAAUAAGCGAUAUUUCAGGGGAAAAAACAGGGAUUUCUAUGAAAAUAAGCGAUAUUUCAGGUUAAAAACAGGGAUUUCUAUGAAAAUAAGCGAUAUUUAAGGUUAAAAACAGGGAUUUCUAUGAAAAUAAGCGAUAUUUCAGGUUAAAAACAGGGAUUUCUAUGAAAAUAAGCGAUAUUUCAGGAUAAAAACAGGGAUUUCUAUGAAAAUAAGCGAUAUUUAAGGUGAAAAACAGGGAUUUCUAUGAAAAUAAGCGAUAUUUCAGGUUAAAAACAGGGAUUUCUAUGAAAAUAAGCGAUAUUUCAGGAUAAAAACAGGGAUUUCUAUGAAAAUAAGCGAUAUUUAAGGAUAAAAACAGGGAUUUCUAUGAAAAUAAGCGAUAUUUCAGGAUAAAAACAGGGAUUUCUAUGAAAAUAAGCGAUAUUUCAGGGGAAAAACAGGGAUUUCUAUGAAAAUAAGCGAUAUUUAAGGUUAAAAACAGGGAUUUCUAUGAAAAUAAGCGAUAUUUCAGGUUAAAAACAGGGAUUUCUAUGAAAAUAAGCGAUAUUUAAGGGGAAAAACAGGGAUUUCUAUGAAAAUAAGCGAUAUUUAAGGUUAAAAACAGGGAUUUCUAUGAAAAUAAGCGAUAUUUAAGGUUAAAAACAGGGAUUUCUAUGAAAAUAAGCGAUAUUUCAGGUUAAAAACAGGGAUUUCUAUGAAAAUAAGCGAUAUUUAAGGUUAAAAACAGGGAUUUCUAUGAAAAUAAGCGAUAUUUUAGGGGAAAAAACAGGGAUUUCUAUGAAAAUAAGCGAUAUUUUAGGGGAAAAACAGGGAUUUCUAUGAAAAUAAGCGAUAUUUAAGGAUAAAAACAGGGAUUUCUAUGAAAAUAAGCGAUAUUUCAGGGGAAAAACAGGGAUUUCUAUGAAAAUAAGCGAUAUUUCAGGUUAAAAACAGGGAUUUCUAUGAAAAUAAGCGAUAUUUCAGGAUAAAAACAGGGAUUUCUAUGAAAAUAAGCGAUAUUUCAGGUUAAAAACAGGGAUUUCUAUGAAAAUAAGCGAUAUUUCAGGUUAAAAACAGGGAUUUCUAUGAAAAUAAGCGAUAUUUAAGGGGAAAAACAGGGAUUUCUAUGAAAAUAAGCGAUAUUUCAGGGGAAAAACAGGGAUUUCUAUGAAAAUAAGCGAUAUUUCAGGUUAAAAACAGGGAUUUCUAUGAAAAUAAGCGAUAUUUCAGGAUAAAAACAGGGAUUUCUAUGAAAAUAAGCGAUAUUUCAGGAUAAAAACAGGGAUUUCUAUGAAAAUAAGCGAUAUUUCAGGUUAAAAACAGGGAUUUCUAUGAAAAUAAGCGAUAUUUCAGGAUAAAAACAGGGAUUUCUAUGAAAAUAAGCGAUAUUUCAGGUUAAAAACAGGGAUUUCUAUGAAAAUAAGUGAUAUUUAAGGGGAAAAACAGGGAUUUCUAUGAAAAUAAGCGAUAUUUCAGGAUAAAAACAGGGAUUUCUAUGAAAAUAAGCGAUAUUUCAGGUUAAAAACAGGGAUUUCUAUGAAAAUAAGCGAUAUUUCAGGGGAAAAACAGGGAUUUCUAUGAAAAUAAGCGAUAUUUCAGGAUAAAAACAGGGAUUUCUAUGAAAAUAAGCGAUAUUUCAGGAUAAAAACAGGGAUUUCUAUGAAAAUAAGCGAUAUUUAAGGAUAAAAACAGGGAUUUCUAUGAAAAUAAGCGAUAUUUAAGGAUAAAAACAGGGAUUUCUAUGAAAAUAAGCGAUAUUUAAGGUGAAAAACAGGGAUUUCUAUGAAAAUAAGCGAUAUUUCAGGUUAAAAACAGGGAUUUCUAUGAAAAUAAGCGAUAUUUCAGGAUAAAAACAGGGAUUUCUAUGAAAAUAAGCGAUAUUUAAGGAUAAAAACAGGGAUUUCUAUGAAAAUAAGCGAUAUUUCAGGAUAAAAACAGGGAUUUCUAUGAAAAUAAGCGAUAUUUCAGGUUAAAAACAGGGAUUUCUAUGAAAAUAAGCGAUAUUUCAGGUUAAAAACAGGGAUUUCUAUGAAAAUAAGCGAUAUUUCAGGUUAAAAACAGGGAUUUCUAUGAAAAUAAGCGAUAUUUCAGGUUAAAAACAGGGAUUUCUAUGAAAAUAAGCGAUAUUUAAGGGGAAAAACAGGGAUUUCUAUGAAAAUAAGCGAUAUUUAAGGGGAAAAACAGGGAUUUCUAUGAAAAUAAGCGAUAUUUAAGGUUAAAAACAGGGAUUUCUAUGAAAAUAAGCGAUAUUUAAGGGGAAAAACAGGGAUUUCUAUGAAAAUAAGCGAUAUUUCAGGUUAAAAACAGGGAUUUCUAUGAAAAUAAGCGAUAUUUAAGGUUAAAAACAGGGAUUUCUAUGAAAAUAAGCGAUAUUUCAGGUUAAAAACAGGGAUUUCUAUGAAAAUAAGCGAUAUUUCAGGAUAAAAACAGGGAUUUCUAUGAAAAUAAGCGAUAUUUAAGGUGAAAAACAGGGAUUUCUAUGAAAAUAAGCGAUAUUUCAGGUUAAAAACAGGGAUUUCUAUGAAAAUAAGCGAUAUUUAAGGUGAAAAACAGGGAUUUCUAUGAAAAUAAGCGAUAUUUCAGGUUAAAAACAGGGAUUUCUAUGAAAAUAAGCGAUAUUUCAGGAUAAAAACAGGGAUUUCUAUGAAAAUAAGCGAUAUUUCAGGAUAAAAACAGGGAUUUCUAUGAAAAUAAGCGAUAUUUCAGGAUAAAAACAGGGAUUUCUAUGAAAAUAAGCGAUAUUUCAGGAUAAAAACAGGGAUUUCUAUGAAAAUAAGCGAUAUUUAAGGAUAAAAACAGGGAUUUCUAUGAAAAUAAGCGAUAUUUCAGGAUAAAAACAGGGAUUUCUAUGAAAAUAAGCGAUAUUUCAGGAUAAAAACAGGGAUUUCUAUGAAAAUAAGCGAUAUUUAAGGUUAAAAACAGGGAUUUCUAUGAAAAUAAGCGAUAUUUAAGGUUAAAAACAGGGAUUUCUAUGAAAAUAAGCGAUAUUUCAGGAUAAAAACAGGGAUUUCUAUGAAAAUAAGCGAUAUUUAAGGUUAAAAACAGGGAUUUCUAUGAAAAUAAGCGAUAUUUAAGGUUAAAAACAGGGAUUUCUAUGAAAAUAAGCGAUAUUUAAGGUUAAAAACAGGGAUUUCUAUGAAAAUAAGCGAUAUUUCAGGAUAAAAACAGGGAUUUCUAUGAAAAUAAGCGAUAUUUCAGGAUAAAAACAGGGAUUUCUAUGAAAAUAAGCGAUAUUUAAGGUUAAAAACAGGGAUUUCUAUGAAAAUAAGCGAUAUUUCAGGGGAAAAACAGGGAUUUCUAUGAAAAUAAGCGAUAUUUAAGGAUAAAAACAGGGAUUUCUAUGAAAAUAAGCGAUAUUUCAGGAUAAAAACAGGGAUUUCUAUGAAAAUAAGUGAUAUUUAAGGUUAAAAACAGGGAUUUCUAUGAAAAUAAGCGAUA